AGCUCCAAUAGCGUAUAUUAAAGUUGUUGCAGUUAAAAAGCUCGUAGUUGGAUCUCGGGUACUAGCAUGUGGUACGCUUAAUUGCUGUUACUACAUGUCUGGUCCUAAUCAAUCGGUUGGCCGUUGAUGCCCUUUAUUGGGUGUUUUCGGUAGCCGGUACGUUUACUUUGAGAAAAUUAGAGUGCUUAAAGCAGGCUAUACGCCUGAAUAAUGUUGCAUGGAAUAAUAGAAUAGGACCUCGGUUCUAUUUUGUUGGUUUUGUAGAGCAUUGAGGUAAUGAUUAAUAGGGACAGACGGGGGCAUUCGUAUUGCGGUGUUAGAGGUGAAAUUCUUGGAUCGCCGCGAGACGAACAACUGCGAAAGCAUUUGCCAAGAAUGUUUUCA
rnacentral:rRNA from 1 species